AAACCAUGCAUCGAGCAUUUACGUAACAAAUCCUUGAAACGCUCCCAAGCUUUAUAUAAGUUCUCAUCCUCUAUUUGCUUGAAUGAUUUAAGAUCAUUCCUCAAUUU